CGUAUAGUACGACAAAGACGGGGCUCCUGUGGUAGAUGGCAAACAGGAACCCCAUCACACACAAACACCCGAGUCGACAGCAUGCUCACCUUUGGUGGUCUGAAAGCCGCGUAGAACUCGUCAUACGCUAUCAUUUUCUUGUGGUCAAGAUUCAACCUGUGGAGUAGCAAGAUAUAGAAAACUUGGGUGAAUGAAGCUGAGAAAAUGCAAGUUAAAGACAAGGGGAAACAAGGAGAUUUGAUGGGUCUCUUUGCUUGAACAAGUUCUUGAUGGUGAAAUACCCUGUCUUCAUCUUCUCCCUCAGCAGGAAUGGGGACAGAAAACAGGCACCCAAGGACUCCCUGGCCACAGACACCUUAUGAACCCCAAGAUACCCAAGGACUCCCUGGCCACAGACACCUUAUGAACCCCAAGAUACCCAAGGACUCCCUGGCCACAGACACCUUAUAUACGCCACGGCACAAGUAUGUAAGGACUCCCUGGCCACAGACACCUUAUGAACCCCAAGAUACCCAAGGACUCCCUGGCCACAGACACCUUAUAUACGCCACGGCACAAGUAUGUAAGGACCCCUGAGCACAGGGGGCAAAAGGGUUACUUAAAAAAGAGCAUACAGAAGACACUGUCAAUAAAAUAUAACAUACACUA